rnacentral:lncRNA from 1 species
GGUGACGUGGAGGAGGAGGUGGGUGAAACCGUCCAGGGAGAGGGUGGAGAGCAUUGGGCCCCGGGGACGUCAUGAUUCUAGGAGCGAGUGGCUAAGAGCUGGGGCGGCUUCGAGGUGGGAUGCUGUGGUGAGGAGAGGACCUCAAGGAAGGAGGCUGAUUGUGCAGGAGACACUCCAUCCGGGAGCCACGGGGACCGAGUGGGAACACUGACUUUAAUAAGCCACUGGCUCUGCGUCCUGGCGAGGCAGCAGUGGAGGCGAGCCUUCAUGUGCUUUGGCUCUGCUCUAAGUGGGGGGACGCUGGGGCGGUGGAGCACCUGUGCGUUUGGCUUCCCUGAGGGGCUGGUGUGGACUCUCGCACAAUCGGGCUGCGAACUGGACAGUAGAAGGGUAGCCCCUCCUCUGACAUGUCACUGUGUCCUCCCUGCGCAGCUGGGCUUGGCCGAGGCUGAGCUGUCACCAUUUGUCCCAAACCGGCUGCCCCUUCCCCACUCCCCAGGCGGCCCAGAAUACCGCAGCCCCAGCUGCUCCUCCAGCCAGAAGCUGCACUCUGCUAAAUGAGCUGGGGUUGCUGGAACUUUCCCGUCCGCCUAGGCCACUUAAACUUCCAGGUUGGUUGAACACCAGCCAGUUUUCCAUUUGGGUUUGAGGUGCCCCCCCUCCUUGCAGCGCUGCGCCCGCUGGGGUUGAAGAGACUGGCGGCGGAGCUCUGGCUCCCAGUGGGGCGGCGGCUCUGGGGGAGGCACGGAGGUGGGGACGGAGGCUGAUCAGUGCCGCCUGGCUUCACGCUUUCUCCCCACGGUGAAAACCCAGCUGGCUCCUUCCCCUGGUUUGUCUGCGAAGCUGUAUCUGGUAUUUAUAGAGGACUGAACCAAGGGCCAAUCAGCUCGGAAUGGAAAUUCCUGAGCCUGGAGUUCUCUGGAGCAACCGGCUCCUGGCUUUCUCUCUCCCAGGAGUUCAGCUGAGGUUUUUCUCCUGAAAACUUUCAAGCUCCGAGAAGUUGGAAGAGGCACAAAUGGGGGGUGUACGUGAAAACACACUGACUAUCUUCCUCUGGGUGUGGACACCUCGUGGUUUUUGGCAUUGAUGGCCAGAGGCGGGGAGGGGCCGGAGGAUGAAUCGCUGGGGGGCCCCGGGAGCAGCUGCAGAGCCUGGCUCUCUGGCGGUGACAGGCAUUGUCUCCUGUUCCUGCGGCCUCCAGGAUUUCCCGCUUCUGAAAUCACGUGUCCGAACUGACCUACUGGGCAUCAGCCACAACCAGCGGUUGUUGUUAACACGAACCUUCCAGCUGCAAGGAAAAGGGACUGUGAGAGAUUUGACAUUUAAAAAGACAGCCAGAAUGAGUGAGAUAUCGACUGACACACUCACUAAAUGUCACCACUUUUGUUUCUUUUCAAUGUUCAGCGCCUAAGUUAUUCUAAAUUAAUUACAUAGCCGCUUGAUUUAUUCCUUACAUUCCCCCUCGCUGCUCCCUCCCACCCUCUGCAGACUGAGAAGCAGCGCGGUGGCUUAUCCCCUUUGUUCUCAAGUUCCCUGGUUGUGAAAAUGACAGGCCUUCAAGGAAAGAGGAGAUGGUCCAGGCAGCAGUGCUGCAACAGGCUCUCAGGGUGCAGUUCAGAGGCGGGGUCUGACCACGGCCACCAUCAAAGCAAGGACACCCCUGUCCCACAGGUGGGGUGGUAAGGCUCAGAGAGGGCACUCCAUAGGCCCAGGGUGGACUGGGGAAGCUGGGGGAGCCAGGACUUAGCCCAGCUCUCCUGGCUUUAGGCUCUUGAGUUUUCCACAUCUAUUGGGGUCAAAGAGAUGAAUCCAUCCUCAUAUGGCAGAUCUGGCAGGAAACAGGUAGCUGCUGGAAUGAAAAGCGCCUACAGCGAAUACAGUUGUACCCCUGCUUCACUGCCAGGGAGCGGGCCCCUGGGAGCGUCAAGGCAGUCCCAGGUUCGAGACCAGGGGAUAACAGGAAGAACUUUUCUGCAUAGAAGGUCAUGCAUAUUUGGAUUAUCUGGGAGAGAAAGUUCCUAGUAAUUGAAGGAAGACAGUGUCUCCUGCUUGUCUAGCUCUUUGAUUUCACAAUCCAUUUUAACUGCAGUGUGUCAUUGUCAGUAAUUUCUCUGAAGAGAUGAAAGACCAUGGUAUAAAGGGCCGUAACCCUUUCAACUGUGAUUAGCAAGUCCUCUGUCAUCUCAGGGACUCACGUUUCCAAAAACACUCAGACUUUCCAGCCACGGGUUUUCAUCCCUUAUUGCUUCAGCCUGAAGCGUCCCCAUAGACCUGACUCAGGCACAGACUGCAAGGUGAAGCCACCGAGAAAAGGAGAAUUGCUACAUGGCUCAGGAUGCCUGAGGCCCCUGCCCACGUUGAUGCUAUGUGUUUCUCUGGAUAAUCCCUGAUGUGUCACCAAACUUUCCCAAUCUGUGCAGAAAAAAGAGUCACCUCAGGGAAAAGAGUCACACAUCUCCCCACUCCUCCUCCCAGUACUAAUUUACUGCGAGUUAGUUGUCCUCGUCCUCGGCUGAGAUCCCUGCAGGGGGAGACUCACCACCCAGGUCUGAAAGGAAAGAGAUGCAGGAAGGCGGUGGGUGGGGGGUGGAGGGGGGGCUCGCCUAUGUGAGUUCCUGACUUUGCGGGCAUCCUCUGAACCCUCUGAAUUCUUCUGUCUGUUCUCACCUGUGGCAGCUCAUCAUCAAUUUCCCUUUUUUUCCAGUCGAAUGGCACAGGCUCUGUUCGGAGCUGCACAUUGUAGAGUGAUGAGCCCUUGUCUGAACUCGACUCUGCUUUUCAGUAGAGCUGCUAAACUACAGCCCACCUUCCCUCCUCCUUGCAUUGUCCAGCAUAGAACGAGUUUAUGGGCUGACUCCACAGCUCUUUAGCUGAUGUAGGGGAUCAAACUAGGAUGUGUGACUGAGGGUUCACAAAGAGGCCGUUGUCGCGCUCUCUCCAGGGAGGCUGGGUACAUUUAGGGGUGUGCCAUGAGGGGUAUAUGCAUAGAUGGCUGGAUACCUUACACCUCUGCUGUAUCUCUACCAUUGCCCUCUUUGUAGAAUAAUUUUCUAUUUUCUAAUAAUUUUCUGAUCUACUCCUGUGUCUGUCUCCUCUUCUGAAUCGUGAGCUCCUAUGUUUUGUUAGAAGGCAGCUUGGCAUGAGCUCCUGUGUUUUGUUAGAAGGCAGCUUGGCAUGGUGCUUAAGCAUGUGAGUCUGGGAUUUAGUUAUCUGGGUUCAGCUGUGUCCCUUGGGCAAGUUUCUGAACCCUUUAGGGCUAGAGGGAGAAAUCAGUGGUGUAAUGAGUGUAAAGCAUUUAGAACAGUGCCUGCCAUAUAGGAAAUGCUUAGUGUUUGUUAGUUUUUAUUAUGAAUUGAUGUGCCCUCAGCCCUAGCAUGUUACCUGAUAUAUACUAGGUGCUCGACACACGUUUGUGGAGUGAAUACCUGUGUGCAGGUAGAGAGAGACGAGCCACAUUCAUGGCAAUAAGUCCCGCUGAGUGUUCUGGGACUGAGCAGGGCAGGAGAGAGAACUGGUCUGUAAGGUUGAGUUUGAGCGGCAGGCUGGGAGUUGGGCCAGGACAUCUGCAGUUGUGGGAGAUGACUUCCUUUACUAUAAAAGGUCCAAUCAGUGGCUUUGACCUCCGUGACUUGGCCCCAUACCAAGGAGCACACAUGUGUUUAUCAGGAGGAACCCCAGAGGUGAGGAUGAAUUCAUGGCCAGAAUGUCACCAAAUGGCCCUUGUGGGGGAUUUAGUUGUCCUUAAAAGUUGGACCCCUGUCAGAACUACUCAAAGCAAUGUACAGAUUCAGUGUAAUCUCUAUCAAAAUCUCAAUUUUUUUUUUUUUUAGUAAAAAUAAACUCAUCCUAAAAUUGAUAUAGAAUCUCAAGGGACUCCAAAGAGCAAAAAUAAUUUUGAAAAAAAAAAAAAGUUGGAGAAUUAACACUUCCUGAGUUCAAGACUUACUAGAAGUUCAAACAUCUGAAUAGGGCUCACCUCAAAGAGGAACAGAGCAGGACACAGGACAAAGCAUGGCCCUGUGGCUGAAGAAGGGCCUCAGGAGGUGAGGCUGGGUAAGGAGGUGUGGCAGCUAGACUGAUCUCAGAUUCCUGAGAGUCUUGCCGUUCCAGGGGAUCAGUCCUUUUGGGAGCAGAAGCCAAGCCCUUGGAGGAGGGAGGGGCAGCAGGUCCUUGCCCGGUGGGGGCAACUGGCAAGAACCAGGUAGGGUCAGGGAGGGCCGGGGAGGGGAAAGAUGCAGUCCCCAGGAAGAAACCUGGGCUGACGAAUGCCGGCAAGGGGGCAGUCGUACUCAGGGGGCUCCUUGUCUCCCCUGGAUGCAGGGCACCUGGCAGCCCUGGGAAUUCCUCAGCUCCAGGUCUUCCCCUUUGUGGACCCCUCAGCCAGGAAAGUGCCCCCUCCUCACAGCUUCCACAUCCCCAAAUCCUACCCAUCCUUAGAAGGGCUAGAAGAUGUCCGUCCUUUCUUUAUUUUUUUUGCUUUUUGCUUUUUAAGGCUGUAAGUUCCCAGACUAGGGGUCGAAUCAGAGCUGCAGUUGCUGGCCUACACCACAGCUACAGCAACGCCAGAUCCGAGCCACAUCUGUGACCUACGCCGUAGCUCACGGCAAUGCCAGAUCCUUAACCCACUAAGCGAGGCCAGAGGAUUGAACCUGUGUCCUCAUGGAUACUAGUUGGAUUCGUCUCCGCUGCGCCACGACAGGAUGCAGCCUUAUAUUUCGCCUCCCUUCCUGCAUUUAGCACUUUCUACCAUGGACUGUAGUUACUUAUGUGGCUGACUUACUAGACUAAAAAGCUUUUUGUGGGCAAGAUUCAAGUCUGAAACUAGUACAGUUGUGUGGCUCAGUGUACAGUCCAUGACUUCAUUCCAAAAUGAAUAGACUGCAGUUUCCCUUCAUUCGUUUCUCUGAGUCAACCCUUCAUAGCUGGACCCUUCACGGGACCCCAAGUUCACUGGGUCUUCCCAAGGGCUGAUGACCAAAUAUUUUCUACUUCUUCUUCCUCUGGGAAUGAACCCCCUAGGUUUUAGAGACCAUAUGAGUACUUCUGGGCAAGGAACUGUGAAGGAAAGUGACAUGUGUUCUUGUCGGGCCAGAGCACUGGGGCCAGGAUGAGAUCCUCCUGAGCUCUGUUUAUCCCCUGGUGUGGCUACUGACAAUGUCUGAGAGGUUGGCUGCGUGGUCAUCUUGAGUUCCCCCCAUCCAUCCUCGCUGACCUGUGAUGAACAUCUAGCACGAAUGAGAAAUAAACCUUUGCUGUUUUCAGCCGCUGAAAUCUGAAGGUUGCCCCUGUGGCAUAGCGCAGCCCAGCAAGCCAGACGCGUUUUACCCUGAUGGUUGAUCUGCUCUUGAUGUGCCUAGCACAUCAUUGGAUCCCUGUGGCUGGUGGGUGACCUGAUGGGAAAGCAGAAGCAAGAGGGAGCUGCAUCUUUGGGCAGCAAAUGCUUCUCUCAGCAGUUCAGCUCCCUUGGUGGCGGUGGCGUCUCACGGUGGCUGCAAGUCAUUUUGAUACAGAUGGGCAAGAAGGGAUGGUACUUUCCACUCUCCACUCUAGGAGCUGACGUCUAAAUUAAUUAAAAGCUGGGGUGAGCAGAGAGGAUAUUCUAUUAAGUUAGAAUGUUCUUUUUAAAUGUUUGAGUCUGCAAAAGGAUUUUCUCAUCAAGUUGUGUUUUACGAGAGUUCGCAGGAUUUCUCUCCCGGUGAGUGAAAGCUUCACACUUUCUCAAUGUGAGUGUGUGAAGCUUCCCGAGAGAAGCCUCGGCAUCUGGAGGGGCUGCUUGUUGAGCUGAACAGCUGAGGAAAUAGCAGAACCCCGUGUACCAAAUGCUCUGAGCUUCAAGCCUGACAAAACACAGGUGGCUUCCAGCCUUGCGGGUUACGCAGGCGUUCCUUGGGCUGGAUAAAAAACAAGCCCUUCUCCUGUACCUCUGAUUGAAGAGAAGUGGUUAUCUAUGUGAAACAAAGGUUAAAAAUAAAAGCCUUGUAGUGUCCGGUGUGUGUGCUGACUGCCAAACCUCAGGAACAGACAAUAACAAGAGAAAUGGGCAAGAGACAGAGAUUUAAUUGAAUAGAAACUAAACUCCAGCCUUUGACGGGGUGAAAGACACAAAGCAGUAAUUAAUAACGUAAUUUUUUAAAAUGACGAUGCAAUUAAUUAACAUCCUGAGUAUGGGGCAGGGGGGAGUGGCAUUCUUUAGCCUGGAAAUACAGCUCAAUAAAGGAGAAAGGAACUUCGCAUUUU